AACGAACGCUGGCGGCGCGUUUUAAGCAUGCAAGUCGAGCGGCAAGGGCCUUUUGGUCCCUAGAGCGGCGGACGGGUGAGUAACACGUGGACAAUCUGCCCCCCGGACCGGGAUAGCCCAGGGAAACCUGGAUUAAUACCGGAUGAGACGAGAGAGGCGAAGGCUUUUCUCGGGAAAGGCGCUACGGCGCCGGCGGGGGAUGAGUCUGCGUCCCAUUAGCUAGACGGCGGGGUAACGGCCCACCGUGGCGACGAUGGGUAGCCGGCCUGAGAGGGUGGACGGCCACAUUGGAACUGAGACACGGUCCAGACUCCUACGGGAGGCAGCAGCUAAGAAUCUUCCGCAAUGGGCGAAAGCCUGACGGAGCGACGCCGCGUGAACGAAGAAGGCCGUGAGGUUGUAAAGUUCUUUUCGGGAGGGGGAACAACCGUGGCAGGGAAUGGCCGCGGGAUGACGUGAAUCCCGGAAUAAGCCCCGGCUAACUACGUGCCAGCAGCCGCGGUAACACGUAGGGGGCGAGCGUUGUUCGGAAUCAUUGGGCGUAAAGGGCGAGCAGGCGGUCCUGCAAGUCCGGCGUGAAAGACCCCGGCCCAACCGGGGGGACGCGCUGGAAACUGCGGGGCUUGAGUACAGGAGGGGAUGCCGGAAUUCCAGGUGUAGGGGUGAAAUCUGUAGAUAUCUGGAAGAACACCAAUGGCGAAGGCAGGCAUCUGGCCAUGUACUGACGCUGAGACGCGAAGGUGCGGGGAGCAAACAGGUUUA
rnacentral:rRNA from 1 species